UCUUCAAUAGCUCAAGGGUAGAGCGAUUGGCUGUUAACCAAGAAGUUAUAGGUUCAAAUCCUAUUUGAGGA
rnacentral:tRNA from 1 species